rnacentral:tRNA from 1 species
AGGGUUGUAGCUCAGUGGUAGAGUACUUGCCUAGCAUGUGUGAGUCCCUGGGUUUGAUUCCCAGCACCACAU